ACUGUGCAAAGGUAGCAUAAUUAUUAGUUUUUUAAUUGAAAGCUUGUAUGAAGGGUUGGACGAGAUAAAAUCUGUCUUUAUUUAAAUUAUUAUAGAAUUUAACUUUUAAGUCAAAAGGCUUAAAUGUAUGUAAAAGACGAGAAGACCCUAUAGAUCUUUAUUUAACUAAUAUUUUGAUAAUUUAGGAUUAUUUUAGUUUAAAGUUUUAGUUAAAUUUUAUUGGGGUAAUAUAAAGAUUAAAUAAAUUCUUUUUAUUUAUUACAUUGAUUUAUGAAUAUAUGAUCCGAUAUUAUUGAUUAUAAGAUUAAGUUACCUUAGGGAUAACAGCGUAAUUUUUUUGGAGAGCUCAUAUCGAUAAAAAAGUUUGCGACCUCGAUGUUGGAUUAAAAAUUAGCUUGGGUGUAGAAGCUCAAGAUUUUGGUCUGUUCGACCAUUAAAUUUUUACAUGAUCUGAGUUCAGACCGGCGUAAGCCAGGUCGGUUUCUAUCUUUACUUAUCUAAAAUAUUUUAGUACGAAAGGACCAAAUAUUUAAUAUAAUUAUAUUUAUUUUUUGAAUAAUAUU
rnacentral:rRNA from 1 species